GCCAACGCGUGCUUCGCUGCGCCCCGCCCCCCUCAGGGGAGGGGCGGCGCUCCACCCGUCUCAAACGUUUGCGCGCCAAACCCUGGAGCCACCUGGAGUGUUUGUGGAAAGUACGGUCUCUGGAGCCACACCCCUAGGUGGCCUGAGGCCCGCGCCCAUGAGAAACCUUAGUGCAGAGGAUUGGUGGCUAGUGGUUCUUUCUCGGAAAGCAAGCCCAGAUUCUGGGAGUUUUAAGACUUCCGCCGCACCUACUGAAGCAAAGCUCCAGAUUGUGAAGCCUCGAGCGGUAGUUUCAUUUUGGGGUUGGGAGGAUCGGACCACGGACGGUGUGUAGAACUCGGACCCACACCAAACCACAUUGGCCCUGCCAUUUCUUGCCGCUUGAGUGAACUGUCGCUGUAUUCAGCUUUCCUAUAUUGGCGUCUGCUUUCUACAAUUUUCUAGCAUAAGAAAUGUUUAAAGAGUGCAGGAACUGAAGGUGUGAGACCAAGGACAUACAUCAGAUUCUUAGUUUGAAUUUAAUUUUUCCUUUCCAGUUUGUUGCAAACAGCUGUUACAUUUAACCCAAUCUUGAAUGCACAUGAACAGAAUCAAGAAUAAUGUAGGAAGAACUUCUUGAAUAUCAAAGCAUUGGGACUUUCUUACAAGGUAGUGAGCAGUAACAAUUUUUUUAACUACAUAAGCCAUGGACAAAUGUCAUUUUGGAAGAUUAGUCUGUACCUGAAAAAUUCUUGCACGAAAAUUUAUGGUCUUGGAACUACAUAGAGAUGGUGGUUGCACAACACCUUUUAUACUAAAAUUUUAAUAAAGGUUAAUGGUUAAUUUUA